AGUGAACGCUGGCGGUAGGCCUAACACAUGCAAGUCGAACGGCAGCACAGUAAGAGCUUGCUCUUACGGGUGGCGAGUGGCGGACGGGUGAGGAAUACAUCGGAAUCUACUUUUUCGUGGGGGAUAAUGUAGGGAAACUUACGCUAAUACCGCAUACGACCUACGGGUGAAAGCAGGGGAUCUUCGGACCUUGCGCGAUUGAAUGAGCCGAUGUCGGAUUAGCUAGUUGGCGGGGUAAAGGCCCACCAAGGCGACGAUCCGUAGCUGGUCUGAGAGGAUGAUCAGCCACACUGGAACGGAGACACGGUCCAGACGCCUACGGGAGGCGGCAGUGGGGAAUAUUGGACAAUGGGCGCAAGCCUGAUCCAGCCAGACCGCGUGGGUGAAGAAGGCCUUCGGGUGGUAAAGCCCUUUUGUUGGGAAAGAAAAGCAGCAGGUUAAUACCCCGCUGUUCUGACGGUACCCAAAGAAUAAGCACCGGCUAACUUCGUG
rnacentral:rRNA from 1 species